rnacentral:rRNA from 1 species
GACGAACGCUGGCGGCGUGCCUAAUACAUGCAAGUAGAACGCUGAAGAGAGGAGCUUGCUCUUCUUGGAAGAGUUGCGAACGGGUGAGUAACGCGUAGGUAACCUGCCUUGUAGCGGGGGAUAACUAUUGGAAACGAUAGCUAAUACCGCAUAACAAUGGGUGACCCAUGUCAUUCAUUUGAAAGGGGCAACUGCUCCACUACAAGAUGGACCUGCGUUGUAUUAGCUAGUAGGUGAGGUAACGGCUCACCUAGGCGACGAUACAUAGCCGACCUGAGAGGGUGAUCGGCCACACUGGGACUGAGACACGGCCCAGACUCCUACGGGAGGCAGCAGUAGGGAAUCUUCGGCAAUGGGGGCAACCCUGACCGAGCAACGCCGCGUGAGUGAAGAAGGUUUUCGGAUCGUAAAGCUCUGUUGUAAGUCAAGAACGAGUGUGAGAGUGGAAAGUUCACACUGUGACGGUAGCUUACCAGAAAGGGACGGCUAACUACGUGCCAGCAGCCGCGGUAAUACGUAGGUCCCGAGCGUUGUCCGGAUUUAUUGGGCGUAAAGCGAGCGCAGGCGGUUAGAUAAGUCUGAAGUUAAAGGCUGUGGCUUAACCAUAGUACGCUUUGGAAACUGUUUAACUUGAGUGCAGAAGGGGAGAGUGGAAUUCCAUGUGUAGCGGUGAAAUGCGUAGAUAUAUGGAGGAACACCGGUGGCGAAAGCGGCUCUCUGGUCUGUAACUGACGCUGAGGCUCGAAAGCGUGGGGAGCAAACAGG